AGCGCAGUCCCUUUUUGCGCCUAACAUGGCUGGACGCAGUAUGAUGCCUCACCCUGUGGCCCUGGCUGUGUUAAUCAUGGUUGUCGUAAAAGGGAGUGUUGGACAGUCAGUGAACCAAUCUGAAGGCACUGUGACUGUCCCCCAAGGCAACCCGAUAUUUCUUGAAUGUACAUAUCCACCUUCUCAAGACUACCCAUUCUGGUAUGUUCAGUACCCCGGACAACCUCUCAAGCUAUUUCUGAAAGAUUUGGGCAAAGAUGGCUCAGAGGAAGGGACUCGCCAGGGUUUUGAAGCCAAUCAUGAUAAAAAACUGAAGACCUACCACAUGAGGAAAACCACCAGCCAGCUGAGCGACUCUGCCGUCUACUUCUGUGCCGCAAGUGGCACAGUGAAGCUGGCCAGAAGAGACUCAGAGCAAAAACAUGCAUGA